GAUGAACGCUGGCGGCGUGCUUAACACAUGCAAGUCGAACGUGAGAAUAGCAAUAUUUGAAAGUGGCAAACGGGUGAGUAACACGUGGGAAUCUGCCUCGAAGUGGGGGAUAACGAUUGGAAACGGUCGCUAAUACCGCACGGUUCUGCUCUGAUGGGAAUGGAGCAGAUAAAGAUUUAUCGCUUUGAGAGGGGCCCGCGGCCGAUUAGCUAGUUGGUAAGGUAAAGGCUUACCAAGGCGAUUAUCGGUAGCUGGUCUGAGAGGACGAUCAGCCAUACGGGAACUGAGACACGGUCCCGACUCCUACGGGGGGCAGCAGUGAGGAAUAUUGGGCAAUGGGCGAAAGCCUGACCCAGCAACGCCGCGUGGAGGAUGAAGGCUUUAGGGUUGUAAACUCCUUUUGUGGGGGAAAAGAAUGGAUGGUACCCCAAGAAUAAGUCACGGCUAACUACGUG
rnacentral:rRNA from 1 species